rnacentral:rRNA from 1 species
AGUGAACGCUGGCGGCGUGCCUAAUACAUGCAAGUCGAACGGCGUGGCGCACGGGUGCGUAAUGUCUAGCUAAUCUGCCCGACACUAGAGGACAACAGUUGGAAACGGCUGCUAAUACUCUAUAGUUUAGGAUGAGGCUAUAUUGUCUCAGCUAGUUGGUGAGGUAAUGGUUAACCAAGGCUAUGACGCAUAACUGGUCUGAGAGGAUGAUCAGUCACACGGGAACUGUGACACGGUCCAUACUCCUACGGGAGGCAGCAGUAGGGAAUAUGGCUUAAUGGGGGAAACCCUGAAGCAGCAUCGCCGCGUGGAGGAUGACACUUUUCGGAGCGUAAACUCCGUUUGUUAGGGAAGCGGUACCUAACGAAUAAGCACCGGCUAACUCCGUGCCAGCAGCCGCGGUAAUAC